AUUGAACGCUGGCGGCAUGCCUUACACAUGCAAGUCGAACGGUAACGGGCCUUCGGGUGCCGACGAGUGGCGAACGGGUGAGUAAUGCAUCGGAACGUACCUUUCAGUGGGGGAUAACGUAGCGAAAGUUACGCUAAUACCGCAUAUUCUGUGAGCAGGAAAGCAGGGGAUCGCAAGACCUUGCGCUGAUUGAGCGGCCGAUGUCAGAUUAGCUAGUUGGUGAGGUAAAGGCUCACCAAGGCGACGAUCUGUAGCGGGUCUGAGAGGAUGAUCCGCCACACUGGGACUGAGACACGGCCCAGACUCCUACGGGAGGCAGCAGUGGGGAAUUUUGGACAAUGGGGCAACCCUGAUCCAGCCAUGCCGCGUGAGUGAAGAAGGCCUUCGGGUUGUAAAGCUCUUUCAGACGGAAAGAAAACGCAUCGGUGAAUACCCGAUGUGGAUGACGGUACCGUAAGAAGAAGCACCGGCUAACUACGUGCCAGCAGCC
rnacentral:rRNA from 1 species